CACGUAGGGCGCAAGCGUUGUCCGGAAUCAUUGGGCGUAAAGCGCGCGUAGGCGGCCUCAUAAGUCCGUUGUGAAAGUCAAAGGCUCAACCUUUGAAAGCCGAUGGAUACUGUGAGGCUAGAGUCCGGAAGAGGCGAGUGGAAUUCCUGGUGUAGCGGUGGAAUGCGCAGAUAUCAGGAGGAACACCAAUAGCGAAGGCAGCUCGCUGGGACGGUACUGACGCUAAGGCGCGAAAGCGUGGGGAGCGAACAGG
rnacentral:rRNA from 1 species